rnacentral:rRNA from 1 species
CCUACGGGUGGCAGCAGUGGGGAAUAUUGGGCAAUGGGCGCAAGCCUGACCCAGCAACGCCGCGUGAAGGAAUAAGGCUUUCGGGUUGUAAACUUCUUUUCUGAGGGACGAAGAAAGUGACGGUACCUCAGGACUAAGCCACGGCUAACUACGUGCCAGCAGCCGCUGUAAUACGUAGGUGGCAAGCGUUAUCCGGAUUUAUUGGGGGUAAAGGGCGUGUAGGCGGGAAAGCAAGUCAGCUGUGAAAACUCAUGGCUCAACCCUGAGACUGCAUUUUAAACUGUUUUUCUUGAGUGCUGGAGAGGCAAUCGGAAUUCCGUGUGUAGCGGUGAAAUGCGUAGAUAUACGGAGGAACACCAGUGGCGAAGGCGGAUUGCUGGACAGUAACUGACGCUGAGGCGCGAAAGCGUGGGGAGCAAACAGGAUUAGAUACCCCAGUAGUC